AGCAGCCGCGGUAAUUCCAGCUCCAAUAGCGUAUAUUAAAGUUGUUGCAGUUAAAAAGCUCGUAGUUGAAUUUCGGGGUCAGUAGGUCGGUCGUGCCACUGGUAUGAACUGGUUUUACUGAUUCCUCCCUCUUGAAGAACUGUAAUGCCAUUAAUUUGGUGUUGCAGGGAAUCAGGACUGUUACUUUGAAAAAAUUAGAGUGUUUAAAGCAGGCUUUAGCUUGAAUACAUUAGCAUGGAAUAAUGAAAUAGGACGUUUGAUCCUAUUUUGUUGGUUUCUAGGAUUGACGUAAUGAUUAAUAGGGAUAGUUGGGGGCAUUAGUAUUCAAUUGUCAGAGGUGAAAUUCUUGGAUUUAUUGAAGACUAACUACUGCGAAAGCAUUUGCCAAGGAUGUUUUCAUUAAUCAAGAACGAAAGAUAGGGGAUCGAAGACGAUCAGAUACCGUCGUAGUCUUAACCAUAAACUAUGCCGACUAGGGAUCGGAUGAUGUUAAUUUUUUAAUGACUCA
rnacentral:rRNA from 1 species